rnacentral:rRNA from 1 species
GAUGAACGCUGGCGGCGUGUCUAAUACAUGCAAGUCGAGCGAACAGACGAGGAGCUUGCUCCUCUGACGUUAGCGGCGGACGGGUGAGUAACACGUGGAUAACCUACCUAUAAGACUGGGAUAACUUCGGGAAACCGGCGCUAAUACCGGAUAAUAUCUUGAACCGCAUGGUUCAAUAGUGAAAGACGGUUUUGCUGUCACUUAUAGAUGGAUCCGCGCCGCAUUAGCUAGUUGGUAAGGUAACGGCUUACCAAGGCAACGAUGCGUAGCCGACCUGAGAGGGUGAUAGGCCACACGGGAACGGAGACACGGUCAAGACGCCUACGGGAGGCAGCAGUAGGGAAUGUUCCGCAAUGGGCGAAAGCCUGACGGAGCAACGCCGCGUGAGAGAUGAAGGUCUUCGGAUCGUAAAACUCUGUUAUUAGGGAAGAACAAAUGUGUAAGUAACUAUGCACGGCUUGACGGUACCGAAUCAGAAAGCCACGGCUAACUACGUG